rnacentral:tRNA from 1 species
GCCCCUGUAGUCGGAGGCUCACGGACCCUCAUUCAGCCUCACUGAGGCUCAUGAUCGGUUUACGUUCUCUCCUAAAGCGGGUGUCGCAGGUUCGAAUCCUGCCGGGGGCA